AGAGUUUGAUCCUGGCUCAGAUUGAACGCUGGCGGAAUGCUUUACACAUGCAAGUCGAACGGCAGCACGGGAGCUUGCUCCUGGUGGCGAGUGGCGAACGGGUGAGUAAUGCGUCGGAACGUACCGAGUAAUGGGGGAUAACGCAGCGAAAGCUGUGCUAAUACCGCAUACGCCCUGAGGGGGAAAGUGGGGGAUCGCAAGACCUCACGUUAUUCGAGCGGCCGACGUCUGAUUAGCUAGUUGGUGGGGUAAUGGCCUACCAAGGCGACGAUCAGUAGCGGGUCUGAGAGGAUGAUCCGCCACACUGGAACUGAGACACGGUCCAGACUCCUACGGGAGGCAGCAGUGGGGAAUUUUGGACAAUGGGGGCAACCCUGAUCCAGCCAUUCCGCGUGAGUGAAGAAGGCCUUCGGGUUGUAAAGCUCUUUCAGCUGGAACGAAACGGUACAGGCCAAUACCCUGUGCUAAUGACGGUACCGGCAGAAGAAGCACCGGCUAACUACGUGCCAGCAGCCGCGGUAAUACGUAGGGUGCGAGCGUUAAUCGGAAUUACUGGGCGUAAAGCGUGCGCAGGCGGAUUGUUAAGCAAGAUGUGAAAUCCCCGGGCUUAACCUGGGAAUGGCAUUUUGAACUGGCAGUCUAGAGUGCGUCAGAGGGGGGUGGAAUUCCACGUUGUAGCAGUGAAAUGCGUAGAGAUGUGGAGGAACACCAAUGGCGAAGGCAGCCCCCUGGGAUGACACUGACGCUCAUGUACGAAAGCGUGGGUAGCAAACAGGAUUAGAUACCCUGGUAGUCG
rnacentral:rRNA from 1 species